AGUCAGAUGAAAGCCAAAAGUGGCCUGGUCUUAGUGUGGCUGAGGCAGUGGAAUCAAUUCAGAAAACAACAGUGCAGUUUAAUGGCUGCAAGGCAGUGAAAUCAAUGGAAAAGUAUACAGCUGAACUGCUGAGCUGAAUGCAGAGAAACUUGUGGACAUUUUUUCAAUACUCUUGUUUCAUGACACUGAAUAUUGAGUAGCUGUCAUUUUUUCCAACUACACCAACUUGGAUUUAUAUAGUGCCUUUAAGAUGGGGCCUCACAGGAGUGUAGUCAAACAAGAUUUGACACUGAGCCACAUAAGGAGAUGCUAAGGCCGAUGGCAGGACGCUGGUCAAAGAGCUGCACAUUUGCAAUUGAACUAAAGUAAGCUGCCUUCUACUAGACAGCAAGAAGGACCUCAGUUGCCUAGACAACUUGCUGACUGAAAACUCUUAAAGUAAAGAUGGCAAAUUUCCAGACUACUUUUGUCACCGAUUUACAUCAAUAAUAUUACCAGCUGUAAACCCUGGAUUAAGGGCACAGGUAAAGGCCUGUAGUUUCUUAGAUGAUGGUGAUGCUUUAGUUGAAGUGCAAGUCUGGAAAAACAAAGGAUCCUCACUGAGCUGCGAAGUUUCUUGUGGCCGAAUUCCCAUAUGGUUGGUUCUCACGUGAACUCAGACUUGGAACAGGUUGCAGGGAGUCCAUCCCCCACUUUCAAGCACUGCACAGGGAUAACCUUUUAUCAAAGGUCAUCGUGACUCAACGCAAAGUGAUUUACAGACUAUCAAGAUACACUUUGUAGCAUGUCAACUUGAG